GACGAACGCUGGCGGCGUGCUUAACACAUGCCAGUCGAACGGAAAGGCCCUGCUUGCAGGGUACUCGAGUGGCGAACGGGUGAGUAACACGUGGGUGAUCUGCCCUGCACUUCGGGAUAAGCCUGGGAAACUGGGUCUAAUACCGGAUAGGAGCCAUUUUUAGUGUGAUGGUUGGAAAGUUUUUUCGGUGUAGGAUGAGCUCGCGGCCUAUCAGCUUGUUGGUGGGGUAAUGGCCUACCAAGGCGGCGACGGGUAGCCGGCCUGAGAGGGUGGACGGCCACAUUGGGACUGAGAUACGGCCCAGACGCCUACGGGAGGCAGCAGUGGGGAAUAUUGAACAAUGGGCGCAAGCCUGAUGCAGCGACGCCGCGUGGGGGAUGACGGCCUUCGGGUUGUAAACUCCUUUCGCUAGGGACGAAGCUUUUUGUGACGGUACCUAGAUAAGAAGCACCGGCUAACUACGUG
rnacentral:rRNA from 1 species